GUAUAAGUGGUGAAAUCACAUAGAUAUGAGUUUUAGUGCAAAGAUCAAGCAAACAUUCUUAUAGGCAAAGAUCGAGUGGUCAAAUCAAGAAGGAAAGAUCAAAGUGGACAAUCACUCAAAAGGACUCAAGCACAACCAUCAAAGCAAAUGUAAAGUCACAUGUAUAAUGGGGAGUGUUUGAGGUUUGAAGUUGAAGAUGUUAGCCCACCAAUUUUAUUUAAUUUUUUAUUUUUUAUUUUUUUAUUUUCAAUGUAAAAGUUUCAUUUUCCUUGUAUUUUUUCAUUUUUUUCUAUAUUUUCCUCAUUUUAUUGUAUUACUGGAUUCCACCCAUUUUGUAUCAUGUGAGCUUCGGACAAAAUGGGGUGUCUACACUAACAAUAUGAAAUUGCAACGUUAUAUCUUUUUAGCAUGAAAUUUGAAUGUAAA